CAAGUCUCUCUUCGGUGCCACCGGCGGGCGAGGCCGGAUUAAUCACCGCUGCUUCGGCCGCCCAUGUGUCCUGAUGUCCUGGGACCCGAACCCCGUGCCCCGUACCUUGCGAUGCUGGCGCCUACGGAGGGCAUCCGAAACUGCCCUACAGAGCAGUCGCCGGGCAGUUGAAGAUCAGCUAAAGAUAUGUGGCCACAGGAGGGAUGCUGAUGUCUUUGAGCUGUUCCUUUCUAAAAAGACUGGGUAGGACUCCAAUUAUUUUACCACUUCCUGGAAUCCACAGUUUUCUAUUGGAGAGACAAGAUACUGAAAUUGAUUAAAAAAAAAAAAAUUAUGGAGACAGGCUGUUUGAAUCCCAGCUCUGUCUCUUCCAGCUGGGUGAUCUUGGGGAACUGACAGAGGUCAUUGAUCUUUCUAGGUUUAAAAAAUUAAAAUACUUAUGGCUUCAUCAUAA
rnacentral:lncRNA from 1 species